UAUUGAUCAAUUUUAUCUGAAACUUAAUUUCCAAAGCUUUUGAUAAACCUCUAUAAAGAGCAAUGUACUGUAAAAUCUAUGACAAAGCGGAACAAAUGGAUUUUGAUCAAGUAUCAGCCCAUCAGUUUACCCUCAAUCAUCAAACUGAAGGAUAGUGUUAACAAAAGUGAUACAUGAGGCCCGUAACUCAUGUAUAACAUGUGCAGUGAUCCCCUGUUAGUGUUUCACCUGUACCACUUAGGUGCCUACCUCAUUGCCGCAUAAAUCCUAAUAUGGACUGCAGAGAUUAAUUUCUUGGAUGGGAUAAAAGUGACGCAUUCAAUGGGAUAUAAUUGUAAAAUCUCUCAGCAUUGUGGAAGUCAACAUAGACCGGAAUCUUAACUGAACAAGAUAUAUAUAUGCAAACAACAGGAAUUCUGCAGAUGCUGGAAAUUCAAGCAACAUACAUCAAAGUUGCUGGUGAACGCAGCAGGCCAAGCAGCAUCUAUAGGAAGAGGCGCAGUCGACGUUUCAGGUCGAGACCCUUCGUCAGGACUAACUGAAGGAAGACACAUACUGUAGCUAGUGCGGGGAGAAUGGAUCCAGGGUAUGUGCUUCGUCGGAAAUAUUUUAACUCCAAGAGGCUUCCAGUCUCACUGAUAGCUACGGUACAUCUGCACAAAGUGAAUUGAACUGAUGCUCCUUA